rnacentral:misc_RNA from 1 species
AAUUACAUCAACAAAAUCUCUAGAAGAGUCUGCUUAUUUCUCCAACUUUGUGUAACCCUUUUUACACAAAUCAUAAGGAUAACUCAUGGCCGCCACUGCCUCUGCUAAUUCACUCACAUCUGCUUUUCUUCCUCCUCAAGGAUUUAAUGGAUCAUCUAAGAGCUUACAAUGGAGAACCCAAAAGAAACAAUUUGGAAGAAAAGCUGGCUCUGCUACAAUAACAGCUAAAUUUGACCUCAUCCCUCCUCCUUAUCCAAUGGAUGCUUUGGAGCCUCAUAUGAGUAGUAGAACAUUUGAAUUCCACUGGGGGAAGCAUCACAGGGCGUAUGUCGACAACUUAAACAAGCAAAUUGAUGGAACAGAAUUAGAUGGAAAGACACUAGAAGAUAUAAUACUUGUUACAUAUAACAAUGGUGCUCCCCUUCCAGCAUUCAACAAUGCUGCUCAGGCCUGGAAUCAUCAGUUCUUCUGGGAAUCUAUGAAGCCCAACGGAGGAGGAGAGCCAUCCGGUGAAUUAUUAGAACUAAUAAAUAGAGACUUUGGUUCCUAUGAUACAUUUGUUAAAGAAUUUAAGGCAGCUGCAGCAACACAAUUUGGCUCCGGAUGGGCCUGGCUUGCAUACAAACCUGAAGACAAAAAGCUUGCUCUAGUGAAAACUCCUAAUGCUGAAAAUCCUCUUGUUUUGGGAUACACACCACUCCUCACCAUCGACGUUUGGGAGCAUGCUUACUAUCUGGACUUUCAGAAUCGGCGACCUGACUACAUAUCUAUCUUUAUGGAGAAGUUGGUGUCAUGGGAAGCAGUCAGUAUUAGGCUUAAAGCAGCAUCAGCUUGAGGUAAAAUAGAAAGGGUUAAGAGGCAAAUAUAAUGUACACUGAGUACAUACUUGAGGCAGAAUGUUUUUUUGUCAAUGAGACAUUAUGUUGAUGUUGUUUAUGUAGUUGAUGGACAGGAAAAAUAAAUGAUGCAAGAAGUUUGAGUAAAG